rnacentral:rRNA from 1 species
AAAUUGAAGAGUUUGAUCAUGGCUCAGAUUGAACGCUGGCGGCAGGCCUAACACAUGCAAGUCGAACGGUAACAGGAAGCAGCUUGCUGCUUUGCUGACGAGUGGCGGACGGGUGAGUAAUGUCUGGGAAACUGCCUGAUGGAGGGGGAUAACUACUGGAAACGGUAGCUAAUACCGCAUAAUGUCGCAGGACCAAAGAGGGGGACCUUCGGGCCUCUUGCCAUCAGAUGUGCCCAGAUGGGAUUAGCUUGUUGGUGAGGUAACGGCUCACCAAGGCGACGAUCCCUAGCUGGUCUGAGAGGAUGACCAGCCACACUGGAACUGAGACACGGUCCAGACUCCUACGGGAGGCAGCAGUGGGGAAUAUUGCACAAUGGGCGCAAGCCUGAUGCAGCCAUGCCGCGUGUAUGAAGAAGGCCUUCGGGUUGUAAAGUACUUUCAGCGGGGAGGAAGGGGAUAAGGCUAA